CAGUAGCCGCGGUAAUACGAAGGGUGCAAGCGUUAAUCGGAAUUACUGGGCGUAAAGCGUGCGUAGGCGGUUUGUUAAGUCUGCUGUGAAAUCCCCGGGCUCAACCUGGGAAUGGCAGUGGAUACUGGCAAGCUAGAGUGUGUCAGAGGAUGGUGGAAUUCCCGGUGUAGCGGUGAAAUGCGUAGAGAUCUGGAGGAAUACCGGUGGCGAAGGCGGCCCCCUGGACAAAGACUGACGCUCAGGUGCGAAAGCGUGGGGAGCAAACAGGAUUAGAUACCCUGUAGUCCCUGUCUCUUAUACA
rnacentral:rRNA from 1 species